rnacentral:rRNA from 1 species
GACAGAGGGUGCAAACGUUGUUCGGAAUCACUGGGCGUAAAGCGCGUGUAGGCGGCAGUGCAAGUCGGAUGUGAAAUCCCGCGGCUCAACCGUGGAAGUGCACCCGAAACUGCACAGCUUGAGUGUCGGAGAGGAAGGUGGAAUGCUUGGUGUAGAGGUGAAAUUCGUAGAUAUCAAGCGGAACACCGGUGGCGAAGGCGGCCUUCUGGACGACAACUGACGCUGAGACGCGAAAGCGUGGGUAGCAAACAGG